rnacentral:rRNA from 1 species
UACAGAGGGUGCAAGCGUUGUUCGGAAUUAUUGGGCGUAAAGCGCGUGUAGGCGGCUUUGCAAGUCGGGUGUGAAAGCCCUCAGCUCAACUGAGGAAGUGCGCCCGAAACUGAAUGGCUUGAGUGCGAAAGAGGGUCGCGGAAUUCCCGGUGUAGAGGUGAAAUUCGUAGAUAUCAGGAGGAACACCAAUAGCGAAGGCAGCUCGCUGGGACGGUACUGACGCUGAGGCGCGAAAGCGUGGGGAGCGAACAGG